rnacentral:rRNA from 1 species
GAUGAACGCUGGCGGCGUGCCUAAUACAUGCAAGUCGAGCGAACAGACGAGGAGCUUGCUCCUCUGACGUUAGCGGCGGACGGGUGAGUAACACGUGGAUAACCUACCUAUAAGACUGGGAUAACUUCGGGAAACCGGAGCUAAUACCGGAUAAUAUAUUGAACCGCAUGGUUCAAUAGUGAAAGACGGUUUUGCUGUCACUUAUAGAUGGAUCCGCGCCGCAUUAGCUAGUUGGUAAGGUAACGGCCUACCAAGGCAACGAUGCGUAGCCGACAUGAGAGGGUGAGCGGCCACCCUGGAACUGAGACACGGUACAAAGUCCUACGGGAAGCAGCAGUAGGGAAUCUUGCGCAAGGGGCGAGAGCCUGACGGAACAACGCCGCGUGAGUGAUGAAGGUCUUCGGAUCGUAAAACUCUGUUAUUAGGGAAGAACAGAUGUGUAAGUAACUAUGCACGUCUUGACGGUACCUAAUCAGAAAGCCACGGCUAACUACGUG